AUUGAACGCUGGCGGCAGGCCUAAUACAUGCAAGUCGAACGGUAACAUAAGAGAAGCUUGCUUUUCUUGAUGACGAGUGGCGGACGGGUGAGUAAUAUUUGGGAAACUACCUGAUAGAGGGGGACAACAGUUGGAAACGACUGCUAAUACCGCAUGACACAUUGAGGUCGCAUGGCCUUAAUGUCAAAGAUUUAUCGCUGAAAGAUGGCCUCGCGUCUGAUUAGCUAGUUGGUGAGGUAACGGCCCACCAAGUCGACGAUCCAUAGCCGGCCUGAGAGGGUGAACGGCCACAUUGGGACUGAGACACGGCCCAGACUCCUACGGGAGGCAGCAGUGGGGAAUAUUGCACAAUGGGGGAAACCCUGAUGCAGCGACGCCGCGUGAAGGAAGAAGUAUCUCGGUAUGUAAACUUCUAUCAGCAGGGAAGAUAGUGACGGUACCUGACUAAGAAGCCCCGGCUAACUACGUG
rnacentral:rRNA from 1 species